CCUACGGGUGGCAGCAGUGAGGAAUAUUGGUCAAUGGGCGGAAGCCUGAACCAGCCAAGUAGCGUGCAGGAUGACGGCCCUACGGGUUGUAAACUGCUUUUAUACGGGACUAACGCGCCUUACGUGUAGGGCUUUGCAUGUACCGUAGGAAUAAGGACCGGCUACUUCCGUGCCAGCAGCCGCGGUAAUACGGAAGGUCCGGGCGUUAUCCGGAUUUUUUGGGUUUAAAGGGAGCGUAGGCCGCAUGUCAAGCGUGCUGUGAAAGGUCCGGGCUAAACCCGGGCCGCGCAGUGCGAACUGGCGUGCUUGAGUCCGCGGAAAGCAGGCGGAAUGCGUGGUGUAGCGGUGAAAUGCUUAGAUAUGACGAAGAACCCCGAUUGCGAAGGCAGCUUGCUGCAGCGGAACUGACGCUGAUGCUCGAAAGCGCGGGUAUCGAACAGGAUUAGAUACCCGGGUAGUC
rnacentral:rRNA from 1 species